CAAAUUGUGCUCUAUCAUAUGUGCAUCAGAAUAAUCUAAUUGUCCAUUGUUUGCUGAGCCAUUGAAGCCUUCUUUUUCCUCAAACUGAUGUUGCGUUUGCCACUGAUGGAUAAGCUCGCCCAUCUUUUGGAUUGGCCUUCGAUGGGCCUAUACGUAAUGGAACAAAGCCCAAGGCACAGCCAUGGUUACGACUAUAGCGAGCCUGUGGUACGUCGCAACCUUAAAGGCAACGUUGAUCUAACCGUCUAUUCGUACAUGCGAACCCGAACCAACGUUGAUCUCCAUAGCUCGUCCGUUCUCUGAGUACACUAAUCUUGACGCUUUUCCCCAAAAAUCGACGGCAAGAUCAGAGGCCACCGCUUCGUGUAUAGUUCGUCACCUUUGCGGAAACGCCAUGUAAGUUUCGAUAUUUCUUUACCACCCACCCCGUUCUCCCCCGCGCCUCCGAUUGCUGUUCCUCUUUUCCUCCACCGGCCACGGUCGUCGACUUCCUGCGUCGCCUCUGUAAUCUUCCCCCGACUUCUGCGCCCAUGGCUGAGACUGUUGUCCUCAAGGUUGGUAUGUCAUGUGAAGGAUGCAUUGGAGCUGUUAAAAGAGUUCUAACCAAAAUGGAAGUUCACUUAAUGCUUUCUUUUAUAUUUUUUUUCUGAUGCUAUUUCUUGAUCUUUGACUUUCUUGGAGCUCAUGUUUUUUGUUUAAAGUAAAAAAAAAUGAAGUCUCUGAUUAUGGUGUGUGAUGUCCAACACCAUCAUACCAAAGCUUAGUAGCCUAGUUCUGCCAUGUUUUAGAUUGUUGUGUUUUGGAAAAGUUAAUUUCCUGUUGGCAAGAUCUUCAUUUGGUUUUAACAAAAUAUUUGUACAUAUUUAUGUCUCAAAUCCAUUUAUGAUGAGCAAUUUCAACAGUACUUUGACUAGCUCAAUGGUAUACAUGUGCAUCUUCAUCAUGUUGCUUGUUUCUUUUUCAGGCGUCGAGUCCUUCAACGUUGAUCUGAAAGAGCAAAAAGUGACUAUGAAAGGCAAUGCGAAACCUGAAGAAGUUCUUCAAACUGUCUCAAAAACAGGCAAAAAGACUUCCUUUUGGGAUGCCGAACCUGAAACCAAGGAGACUAUUGCAUGAUGAUGAUAUCCUACUUACAUGAAACCUUUUACCAAAUAAAUUGGACUCUUUAUGUCGUAUGAUCUGUUAGUAUGUUAUGUUGCAGAGCUUGGUUCUUGAUACAUGUUGAGUACAUACUGAUUAUUAUCUGAUCAACUGUGACAUAUCCCUUCCGGUAUGCUUGUGCCAACCAUCAAGUGAACUUAUCAAGGCUGAUCUAUGAAAAAUAUCCAUUGCAAGUUUGAUUAGACCCAUAUCUCACUCUACUUACGGGUUAAUGGUUAUCUUGAUGUGCUCAAUUUCAAUGGAAUUUGGUUCGCUCAA